GCAGUCGAGCGGACCGACGGGAGCUUGCUCCCUUAGGUCAGCGGCGGACGGGUGAGUAACACGUGGGUAACCUGCCUGUAAGACUGGGAUAACUCCGGGAAACCGGGGCUAAUACCGGAUGCUUGAUUGAACCGCAUGGUUCAAUCAUAAAAGGUGGCUUUUAGCUACCACUUACAGAUGGACCCGCGGCGCAUUAGCUAGUUGGUGAGGUAACGGCUCACCAAGGCGACGAUGCGUAGCCGACCUGAGAGGGUGAUCGGCCACACUGGGACUGAGACACGGCCCAGACUCCUACGGGAGGCAGCAGUAGGGAAUCUUCCGCAAUGGACGAAAGUCUGACGGAGCAACGCCGCGUGAGUGAUGAAGGUUUUCGGAUCGUAAAACUCUGUUGUUAGGGAAGAACAAGUACCGUUCGAAUAGGGCGGCACCUUGACGGUACCUAACCAGAAAGCCACGGCUAACUACGUGCCA
rnacentral:rRNA from 1 species